GAUGAAGAACGCAGCGAAAUGCGAUAAGUAAUGUGAAUUGCAGAAUUCAGUGAAUCAUCGAGUCUUUGAACGCACAUUGCGCCCCCUGGUAUUCCGGGGGGCAUGCCUGUCCGAGCGUCAUUGCUGCCCUCAAGCACGGCUUGUGUGUUGGGCCCCGUCCCCUCCCCCGGGGACGGGCCCGAAAGGCAGCGGCGGCACCGCGUCCGAUCCUCGAGCGUAUGGGGCUCUGUCACCCGCUCUGUAGGCCCGGCCGGCGCCAGCCGACACCCAACUUUUAUUUCUAAGGUUGACCUCGGAUCAGGUAGGGAUACCCGCUGAACUUAAGCAUAUCAAUAAGCGGAGGA
rnacentral:misc_RNA from 1 species